rnacentral:rRNA from 1 species
UGCAGUCGAACGGUGAUAGCAAUAUCAUAGUGGCGCACGGGUGCGUAACACGUAUACAACCUACCUUAUACUGAGGGAUAGCCUUUCGAAAGGGAGAUUAAUACCUCAUAACACAUUGAACUGGCAUCAGUUUAUUGUUAAAGAUUUAUUGGUAUAAGAUGGGCAUGCGUCCAAUUAGUUAGUUGGCGAGGUAACGGCUCACCAAGACGAUGAUUGGUAGGGGAACUGAGAGGUUAAUCCCCCACACUGGCACUGAGAUACGGGCCAGACUCCUACGGGAGGCAGCAGUAGGGAAUAUUGGGCAAUGGAGGCAACUCUGACCCAGCCAUGCCGCGUGCAGGAAGAAGGCGUUAUGCGUUGUAAACUGCUUUUAUAUAGGAAGAAAUAGACCUUGCGAGGUAAGUUGACGGUACUAUAUGAAUAAGCACCGGCUAACUCCGUGCCAGCAGCCGCGGUAAUACGGAGGGUGCAAGCGUUGUCCGGAUUUAUUGGGUUUAAAGGGUGCGUAGGCGGUUUAUUAAU